rnacentral:rRNA from 1 species
AACGAACGCUGGCGGCAUGCCUAACACAUGCGAGUCGAACGAGACCUUCGGGUCUAGUGGCGCACGGGUGCGUAACGCGUGGGAACCUGCCCUUAGGUUCGGAAUAACUCCCCGAAAGGGGUGCUAAUACCGGAUAAUGUCUUCGGACCAAAGAUUUAUCGCCUUUGGAUGAGCCCGCGUUGGAUUAGCUAGUUGGUAGGGUAAAAGCCUACCAAGGCGACGAUCCAUAGCUGGUCUGAGAGGAUGAUCAGCCACACUGGGACUGAGACACGGCCCAGACUCCUACGGGAGGCAGCAGUGGGGAAUAUUGGACAAUGGGCGAAAGCCUGAUCCAGCAAUGCCGCGUGAGUGAUGAAGGCCUUAGGGUUGUAAAGCUCUUUUACCCGGGAUGAUAAUGACAGUACCGGGAGAAUAAGCUCCGGCUAACUCCGUG